rnacentral:rRNA from 1 species
UACGAAGGGUGCAAGCGUUAUCCGGAUUCACUGGGUUUAAAGGGUGCGUAGGUGGGUAAGUAAGUCAGUGGUGAAAUCUCCGGGCUUAACCCGGAAACUGCCAUUGAUACUAUUUGUCUUGAAUACUGUGGAGGUCAGCGGAAUAUGUCAUGUAGCGGUGAAAUGCUUAGAUAUGACAUAGAACACCAAUUGCGAAGGCAGCUGGCUACACAAAUAUUGACACUGAGGCACGAAAGCGUGGGGAUCAAACAGGG